GAGUGAUACAUGUAUAGUUAGAAGUCCCAGUGCUGUUGUACUCUACUCCAAUCAAAUUACUGGUCGUAUUAUAAAUACUUGUGAACAUCAUUUUCAGUUCUUUCCGCCCUUUUCAUCGAAAGCAGUGGGAAUGUUUUACUUGCGUUUGCUUUUAGUAAUGUGCUGCCAUCCUGUUAGAAGUUUCACAACAUAAACGUUUUGAUUGCACCCGACCAGAUGAACAGCUAUCGGAGGAAAGCCAAGUACCACCGGAACAAAACAACAUUCAUCACUGAUAAGCAACUCCAUACAUCUGACUCAGAGGGGCAUUGACCAACAUGGAGCUGUCACAAUGCAACAAAAAGGCGUGAAUGACAUUGUUGCUGGGGUACAGAAGUAUCAAUCAUCACUAUUGGACAACCUCAGGAAGCAGAUGGAGGCAGUGCUAAAGAAGCAUUCAGGAUGCACAUCAGGUCAACUUGAAAAAGAUGCAAUGGAUAUAUUUGACAAUUUCAUUGACCCUUUUGCUGGUGUUGCAACAACAUUUAGACAGGUCAGUGUUAUUAAGUAGCAGUUUAGCUGUUUGGACGCAGAGGAAAUUCCAAUUGCUCGAACCAUAUGCAGGAUGAAAUGUGGAGGAUCAAAAUACAUUCAUCAAAGAUCAUAAAAUCAUUUAUGUACCAUUAGUCAAAAGUCUAGAACAGUUCUUAUCACACCCAAGGAUUUUGUCAAUGGUUGAAAAGGGAACCCAGAUGUGCAGGGAAAUUUUUUUUCAUGACAUUGUUGAUGGUGCUCUUCUAAAAUCACAUCCCUUAUUUUCAGAGAAACCAAAGGCAUUGCAGAUUGUUCUUUACACGGAUGAAAUAGAAAUUUGUAAUCCACUAGGAUCCUUUGCAUCAAAGAACAAGUUGUUAAUGGUGUACGCCACCCUAGGAAAUAUAAAUCCAAAACACAGGUCUAAACUGGCUGCUAUCAGGCUACUUGCCAUGGCUAGAUCAGCAGACCUCCGUCAAUCUGGUGUAGAUGUAAUAUUGAAUAGAAUCAUGGAAGAUAUGGAUGCAUUGUACAGUGGGGUUAAAAUGCUAACUAUUAACAGAGAACUAUAUAUGGUGCCAUGGUCUCUCUGUGGAGACACCCUGGCACAACAUGAACUAGCAGGGUUCAAAGAGGGUGUGGGCUUUGCCUACAACAAGUGCAGACACUGUGUGUUCUUUUGAGGACAUGCAGUCACACUUCAAUGAGGAUGCAUAUACUAAAAGGACAUUGGAGAAGCAUGUCAGAAGAAAUAGAAACAGACGGACUUGCUUCGCAACAGCCUGAGAACAACAUAUGGGAUCAAUAGAAGGAGCAAGUUAGUUGAAUUCCCAGCCUUUGAUAUCAUACAACAAACUCCGCAAGACAUUAUGCAUGUCAUUCUGGAGGGUAUAGCCCCACUGGAAAUCAAAUGUGUUUUGAAUCAUCUUGUCGUGUCAGGACAGAUUGAGCUGGACUCAGUGAAUUCUGCUAUUCUUGGUUUCCCUUAUUCCCCUCUAGAUGUUAGAGAUCGGCCAUCCCCAAUUUCUGUUAGUACAUUAACGUCAAGUGAUGGUAAACUAAAACAGUCAUCUGGGCAAAUGCUUGUCCUGCUAAGGAUAUUACCAUUUGUUUUGGAGAGUUUGGAAGUCAAUGCAUAUAUACAACUGAUAAUUGAGCUAAUAGAGAUUGUACAGAUAGUAUUUGCACCUGUUCUUUCCAUUGUGACUGUGUCUAGGUUGAAGUUACUCAUUGAAAAUAAUUUGAAGCAUUGGAAUGGAGCUUUGUCCAGACCGCAAUGUUACACCUAAACAGCAUUCUAUGAUACAUUUGCCAUCACAGAUAAAGUCAUUGGGGCCAAUGGUUAGAUAUAUGUGUAUGCGGUCUGAGUCUGUUACGGUAGUAGUGAUUGAACCAAGGCGCAGCUUUGUGAAAUGACAUGAUUUAAUAAAGACACGAACAAACAACUAAGACAGAAAAACGAACUAGACUUGAAUUAACUAACAAAAUAACAAAACGAAUGUGUAGACAAACCUAGACAUACGAACUUACAAUAAAACACGAAGAACGCACGAACAGGGAAAAAUAGACUACACAAAA